AGUUAGCAAAGCAAUGCCGAAAAUCCACCAGUAAAAAUCAUUCCAUAGUUCGGUUGUAGAACUAUCGGUUUGGAGGACCCGAGUCGACUUUACAUCUUUUCCACUCGCUACGGUGCACAUCAAUAUUCCAAAGAAGGGCUCUCACUCACAGCACUGAAUAUUAUAUUCAAAGGCAUGGGUACGUUGAAGUCUAAAGCAUAAUUUUUGCAGACGCUGGCAAGGAAGAACAUAAAAACCAAGGUCAUGUACUUCUUGAGUCCUAUACUUGGUUUUACCGUGCCACAUUUUGAGAUUCUGCUGAUCGAGAUAAGUGAAUUGGAUGCGAAGGACUUCGAGCCAAUCUUUUACGCGGUAGUUUUUCAAGCGUAGUCAAUAAU
rnacentral:lncRNA from 1 species